CAGUCGAACGAACUCUUCGGAGUUAGUGGCGGACGGGUGAGUAACACGUGGGAACGUGCCUUUUGGUUCGGAAUAACUCAGGGAAACUUGUGCUAAUACCGAAUGUGCCCUUCGGGGGAAAGAUUUAUCGCCAUUAGAGCGGCCCGCGUCUGAUUAGCUAGUUGGUAGUGUAAUGGACUACCAAGGCAACGAUCAGUAGCUGGUCUGAGAGGAUGAUCAGCCACAUUGGGACUGAGACACGGCCCAAACUCCUACGGGAGGCAGCAGUGGGGAAUCUUGCGCAAUGGGCGAAAGCCUGACGCAGCCAUGCCGCGUGAAUGAUGAAGGUCUUAGGAUUGUAAAAUUCUUUCACCGGGGACGAUAAUGACGGUACCCGGAGAAGAAGCCCCGGCUAACUUCGUGCCAGCAGCCGCGGUAAUACGAAGGGGGCUAGCGUUGCUCGGAAUUACUGGGCGUAAAGGGAGCGUAGGCGGACAUUUAAGUCAGGGGUGAAAUCCCGGGGCUCAACCUCGGAAUUGCCUUUGAUACUGGGUGUCUUGAGUGUGAGAGAGGUAUGUGGAACUCCGAGUGUAGAGGUGAAAUUCGUAGAUAUUCGGAAGAACACCAGUGGCGAAGGCGACAUACUGGCUCAUUACUGACGCUGAGGCUCGAAAGCGUGGGGAGCAAACAGGAUUAGAUACCCUGGUAGUCCACGCCGUAAACGAUGAUUGCUAGUUGUCGGGAUGU
rnacentral:rRNA from 1 species